GUGAGGAAUUUUGCGCAAUGGGGGCAACCCUGACGCAGCGACGCCGCGUGGAGGAUGAAGUCUUUCGGGAUGUAAACUCCUGUCAGUGGGGACGAUAAUGACGGUACCCACAGAGGAAGCACCGGCUAACUCCGUGCCAGCAGCCGCGGUAAGACGGAGGGUGCAAGCGUUGUUCGGAAUUACUGGGCGUAAAGCGUACGUAGGCGGCAAGUUAAGUUCAAUGUUAAAGCCCACGGCUCAACCGAGGAGAUGCAUUGAAUACUGGCUAGCUAGAGGGUGUUAGAGGAAGACGGAAUUCCCAGUGUAGCGGUGAAAUGCGUAGAUAUUGGGAGGAACAUCGGUAGCGAAAGCGGUCUUCUGGGACACACCUGACGCUGAGGUACGAAAGCGUGGGGAGCAAACGGGAUUAGAUACCCGAGUAGUCC
rnacentral:rRNA from 1 species